rnacentral:rRNA from 1 species
CGCGGUAAUUCCAGCUCCAAUAGCGUAUAUUAAAGUUGUUGCGGUUAAAAAGCUCGUAGUUGGUUCUGCGUGCCACGCUGUCGGUUCACCGCCUGCCGGUGCAACUGGCAUGCCGUGGCAUGUCCUGUCGGUGGCGGAUAGGCCUCCCGGCGUGCCCUAUGCGGUAUACCAGCGUGUAGGCUGCUGCGCCGGGGGUGUCCUUGUACGCCGACUCAAUCCUACCGCGGUGCUCUUUACCGAGUGUCGAGGUAGGCCGACACUGUUUACUUUGAACAAAUUAGAGUGCUUCAAGCAGGCUCUUAAAUCAGCCUGAAUAGUGGUGCAUGGAAUAAUGGAACAGGACCUUGGUUCUAUUUUGUUGGUUUCCGGAAUCCAAGGUAAUGAUCAAUAAGGACAGGCGGGGGCAUUCGUAUUGCGACGUUAGAGGUGAAAUUCUUGGAUCGUCGCAAGACCACUAAAGCGAAAGCAUUUGCCAAGUAUGUCUUAAUUGAUCAAGAACGAAAGUUAGAGGUUCGAAGGCGAUCAGAUACCGCCCUAGUUCUAACCAUAAACGAUGCCAGCCAGCGAUCCGCCGACGUUCCUCCGAUGACUCGGCGGGGAGCUUUCCCCGGGAAACCAAAGCUUUUGGGUUCCGGGGGAAGUAUGGUUGCAAAGCUGAAACUUAAAGGAAUUGACGGAAGGGCACCACCAGGAGUGGAGCCUGCGGCUUAAUUUGACUCAACACGGGAAACCUCACCAGGCCCGGACAUUGGAAGGAUUGACAGAUCGAUAGCUCUUUCUUAAUUCAGUGGGUAGUGGUGCAUGGCCGUUCUUAGUUGGUGGACUGAUUUGUCUGGUUAAUUCCGAUAACGAACGAGACUCCGACCUAUUAACUAGGCGAUACCGGUAUAGAUGACUACCGGCGAGAUUUAUUCUUCUUAAAGGGACAGGCGGCUCUUAGCCGACGAGAUUGAGCAAUAACAGGUCAGUGAUGCCCUUAGAUGUUCUGGGCCGCACGCGCGCUACACUGAAGGAAUCAGCGUGUGCUCCCCUGUCCGAAAGGUCCGGGUAACCCGCUGAACCUCCUUCGUGCUAGGAAUUGGGGCUUGCAAUUUUUCCCCAUGAACGAGGAAUUCCCAGUAAGCGCGAGUCAUAAGCUCGCGUUGAUUAAGUCCCUGCCCUUUGUACACACCG